rnacentral:rRNA from 1 species
AGUGAACGCUGGCAGCGUGCCUAAUACAUGCAAGUCGAACGCGAAAGUCCUUCGGGAUGAGUAAAGUGGCGCACGGGUGAGUAAUACAUGGGAACAUGCCCUUGGAUGGGGAAUAACGUUUGGAAACGAACGCUAAUACCUCAUAAUCUCGCGAGAGUAAAGGUGGCGCCGCAAGGGCUACCGUCCAAGGAUUGGCCCAUGUCCCAUUAGCUAGUUGGCGGGGUAAUGGCCCACCAAGGCAACGAUGGGUAACUGGUCUGAGAGGAUGAUCAGUCACACUGGAACUGAGACACGGUCCAGACUCCUACGGGAGGCAGCAGUAGGGAAUAUUGCACAAUGGGGGAAACCCUGAUGCAGCAACGCCGCGUGAGUGAAGAAGGCCCUUGGGUUGUAAAGCUCUUUAGCGUGGGAAGAAGGUAGAUAUGGUGAAUAAUCAUGUUUGCUGACGGUACCACGAGAAUAAGCACCGGCUAAUUUCGUGCCAGCCGCCGCCGUAA